rnacentral:piRNA from 1 species
UUCUAGUUUCUCAAAAUACCG